AAGUCGUAACAAGGUUUCCGUAGGUGAACCUGCGGAAGGAUCAUUACCGAGUGCGGGCCCGCUCCGGGCCCAACCUCCCACCCGUGUCUCUUGCGUACUUUGUUGCUUUGGCGGGCCCACCGGGUCACUCCGGUCGCCGGGGGGCGCUAUGCUCCCGGGCCCGUGCCCGCCAGAGCACCCCUGUGAACCCUGAUGAAGAGAGGCUGUCUGAGUCCCACGAUAAUCGUUAAAACUUUCAACAAUGGAUCUCUUGGUUCCG
rnacentral:misc_RNA from 1 species